UCUGCAUUCUUGCAGCUAUCUACAUGCUUAUGAUAUUGAGAUACUUCAAAUUCCCAAAAUAUUUAGAAAUCACUUGCAGCAACAUUUGACAGAAGUCGAAAAUUUCUGCAUAAAAAUUUUUUAAGAUCACAAAUUUGAUUCCUGUUCUGAAUCUAAAAAAAGGUUUGAACAAAAAUGUGAUCUAGUACUCCGACAUGAAGUGAUUCAGAAUUAAGCAGAGAAGACUUGCAGUAAAGAAAAAAAAUGUUGGUUGUUUGUUCAUUGGUUGUUGGUUUGUAGGGUUUUAUUCACUAAGAAUAUAAGAUACACUACAUAUGAAGUAUGAAGCAAAUACAUGAAAACAAGGUACUUAUGUGAGAUUUGAAUGUAUUAAUAGUUCACUCAAAAUUAUUAGAGUUUUGGCAGACCACUUACCUCUCACCCUGCAGGUUUACAUCAGUUGCUACAUAAAACAAAAAACAAAUUCAGGCAACAAUGUCAUGUGCCAAUUUUGGGGGUUAUGAUAUGUCUUUUGCUGUGUUUUUCAUGUUCAUGUGUGGGGAAAGAUAAAAAAAUUUUGAGAACAGGAAGAAUGAUAUACAGUUUUUUGAUUUUCAUAUUAGCUGGAAAGAACUUGAAACCUGUGGAAAAACUAUUUUUUGCUCUAAGAAAAGGAGCAGGAGCAAAUCAAAGCAGGAAGUCAGUCAAGCACAAAGAUAAGGCACCUGCUGUGGCUUUGGAGAAUUAUAACCUUCCUACGUCACACACACUCCUAGCAGCCAGGACCUCAAACGUCUCAUGGAAGGUCAAGAUUCAGAAUUUGACAGGUGGAAGAUGCCUAUAUCCAAUCUGAUUUUCUGAGGAAGCCUCCAAUCUGAGUAACUGUUCAACUGGAAUCUAGAACUGGCAGAGAAAUUCCUGGGCAACUUCCCCGUGUAAUAAUGAAUGUUCUUUAACAAGCUAGAAUCCUGUUGUGCUGCUGCCGGUCGUUCCUAAUUUUACUACAGGCA